GAUGAACGCUGACAGAAUGCUUAACACAUGCAAGUCAUUGGCGAAGCUGCGCUUGCGCAGUCUAGCCAAGGCGGACGGGUGAGUAACGCGUAAGGAACUUGCCCUGCAGACAGGGAUAACAGACGGAAACGACUGAUAACACCUGGUAUUGUCAGGCUGGCGCAUGCCGGCCUGAUGAAAGGAGACGCUGCAGGAGAGCCUUGCGUCCUAUUAGCUAGUUGGUGGGGUAACGGCCCACCAAGGCGAUGAUAGGUAGCCGGCCUGAGAGGGUGAACGGCCACAAGGGGACUGGGAUACGGCCCUUACUCCUACGGGAGGCAGCAGUGGGGAAUAUUGGACAAUGGGGGCAACCCUGAUCCAGCAAUUCUGUGUGCACGAAGAAGGUUUUCGGAUUGUAAAGUGCUUUCAGCAGGGAAGAAGAAAGUGACGGUACCUGCAGAAGAAGCGACGGCUAAAUACGUG
rnacentral:rRNA from 1 species